rnacentral:misc_RNA from 1 species
GAUGAAGAACGUAGCGAAAUGCGAUAAGUAAUGUGAAUUGCAGAAUUCAGUGAAUCAUCGAAUCUUUGAACGCACCUUGCGCCCUUUGGCUAUUCCGAAGGGCAUGCCUGUUUGAGUAUCAUGAACACCUCAACUCUCAUGGCUUGCUGUGAUGAGCUUGGAAUUUGGGGGUCUUGUUGGCUUGUGAGCCAGCUCCUCCUAAAUGAAUUAGCUUGCCGGUGUUUGGUGGCAUCACAGGUGUGAUAACUAUCUACUCUUGUGGUUUCCCAUCAGGUAACCUCCAGUGAUGGAGGUUCGCUGGGGCUCAUAAAUGUCUCUCCUCAGUGAGGACAGAUUUUGACUGUUUGAUCUCAAAUCAGGUAGGACUACCCGCUGAACUUAAGCAUAUCAAAAGCGGAGGA